rnacentral:lncRNA from 1 species
UGCACCGAGAAGGAGGGCGAGUGUGCUCAGCAACCAGACACAAUGCCAAAUUGCCUCACAAAAAGGCCUGACCAGGAAGAAUUCAAAUGCUCUCCGAAAAAUAAGCCGUGUGCGGCCGCAUGGCCAAGAGGUUGCGAUGGUUCACCACCACCUACUUGCCUUAUUAAUGGAGAGAAGUGUCUGUGCACCUGUCCUCUCAAGGCCUAAAGGAAUCCAGAUCAUCAACAAUGCCAUACUGGGAAUUACCGGGGAU